rnacentral:rRNA from 1 species
UACGUAGGUGGCAAGCGUUGUCCGGAUUUAUUGGGUUUAAAGGGUGCGUAGGCGGCCCUGUAAGUCAGUGCUGAAAUACCCCGGCUUAACCGGGGGGGUGGCAUUGAUACUGCAGGGCUUGAGUACAGAUGAGGUAGGCGGAAUUGACGGUGUAGCGGUGAAAUGCAUAGAUAUCGGAAGGAACACCAGUGGCGAAAGCGGCUUCCUGGUCCAGCACCGACGUUCAGGCACGAAAGCGUGGGGAGCAAACAGG